GUCCACGCUGUAAACUAUGAGAACUAGAUGUUAGGGGGCAUGACCUCUUAGUAUCGUAGCAAACGCGAUAAGUUCUCCGCCUGGGGAGUACGGCCGCAAGGUUAAAACUCAAAGGAAUUGACGGGGGCCCGCACAAGCGGUGGAGCAUGUGGUUUAAUUCGAUGCAACGCGAAGAACCUUACCUACCUUUGAAUCCACGGAACCUUGCAGAGAUGUGAGGGUGCCUUCGGGAACCGUGAUACAGGUGCUGCAUGGCUGUCGU
rnacentral:rRNA from 1 species